UAAUACAGAGGGUGCAAGCGUUAAUCGGAAUUACUGGGCGUAAAGGGUGCGUAGGUGGUUAAUUAAGUCAGAUGUGAAAUCCCUAGGCUUAACCUAGGAAUUGCAUUUGAAACUAAUUUACUAGAGUACGGGAGAGGGAAGUGGAAUUUCCGGUGUAGCGGUGAAAUGCGUAGAUAUCGGAAGGAACACCAGUGGCGAAGGCGACUUCCUGGCCCGUUACUGACACUGAGGCACGAAAGCGUGGGGAGCGAACAGGAUUAGAUACCCUGGUAGUCCACGCCGUAAACUAUGAGAACUAGAUGUUAGGGGGCUUAGACCCUUUAGUAUCGCAGCAAACGCGUUAAGUUCUCCGCCUGGGGAGUACGGCCGCAAGGUUA
rnacentral:rRNA from 1 species